CGUAUUAGGUAUAAGAAUAGCUCC
rnacentral:siRNA from 1 species